UACGUAGGGUGCGAGCGUUGUCCGGAAUUAUUGGGCGUAAAGAGCUCGUAGGCGGCCCUGUCGCGUCGGAUGUGAAAGCCCGGGGCUUAACCCCGGGUCUGCAUUCGAUACGGGCAGGCUAGAGUGUGGUAGGGGAGAUCGGAAUUCCUGGUGUAGCGGUGAAAUGCGCAGAUAUCAGGAGGAACACCGGUGGCGAAGGCGGGUCUCUGGGCCGAUACUGACGCUGAGGAGCGAAAGCGUGGGGAGCGAACAGG
rnacentral:rRNA from 1 species